rnacentral:misc_RNA from 1 species
AACUUUCGGCAACGGAUCACUGGGCUCCUGCAACGAUGAAGAACGCAGUGAAAUGCGAAACGUAAUGCGAUUUGCAGCAUCUGUGAGUCAUCGAGUCUUUGAACGCACCUGGCACCCGAGGCUGACUCGGGUAUACCUGUUUGAGCAGUGGAAGCAAUGCAAGUGAGUGUCAGCAGGACUGCUGUCGCUUGAAAAGCGUGAGUGCUGGCUGUGCGGAAGACGCGGCCGCCAUGUGUCGAUGGGACUGUGGUCUCUGAUUGUGGCGGCGGUGGCUGGAAGUGCGUGAUCUGCAGCAUCAGGCGUGGGUGUGUGGGGUUGAGUUGAAGGAGUUGGGUGUGUGAGUAAGCAAUUGCUCUUCAUGCCCAACACUCAACAACUCGCACUCCCCCACCACCACUACACAUCACUCUCAAAUCAGGCAAGAUUACCCGCUGAACUUAAGCAUAUCAAUAAGCGGAGGCU